AUCAUUAAUCAUCAAUGCUACUGUUAAGCAAAUGGAAGUGAUAAAAGUCCCGAAUAAUCAACAAAGGAUCAUUGAAAGGAGUCUGGAGGAAUAUUAUGAAGGAUGGCUAAACAAACUGAACUUAAAUGAGCAAACUUUUGACGAUAGUUCUAUUGACUCUAAUGAGGAUGAUGAAGAUGUCUAAAGGUGAACCAUACCCUGGAUAUAAGUGCCAGUUGAACUUUGGCCCAGGGAGGCUCUCUACGAUACAUAAGGGUCCGUGUACUUGUUGGCCAACGGAUUUUCGUUUUAAAAGGAAAAAAACAAAAACGAAAAACGGCUCGUUUCCCAAUUUCCAUUAGUAAAUAGGAAAACAAAAAACGGAAAACAAUCCAUUUUUCUUUUUUUCUUUUGAUAUUAAAAGACGGAAAACACAAAACAAUCUCGUUAUCCGAUUGUAUUUAUAGAUGGAAAUCGGAAAUCAAGAUACGUAUAUAUAUGACCUAAUCCUGCAUUGGUACUUUUUCGUGAACCGGAAGUUACUCCCGCCCAGAGCUCCCGCCACGCCAAGAAGACCCGCCUUUCACCCUAGGUAAUGUAAAACACGUAAUUGAUGUUCGAGCUACUGCGACAAUGGAAACAACAAGUUAUGUUCUCUUUUGAGAAGGCAAACGUGUCACAGUAAGAGAUGAUGACAUGUCUGUUGACAAAAUAUGCAGGAUAUUUCAGGUUGAUGGCAGCAGUCUGUACAUUACAGAUGAUGCAAACACCACAACAUUUCCAGAGCCAUCUGGACGUUUUUGCAUCCUCGAUCUUGUGCAUCGCGGCCAUUAUGAGGUCCACGGGGAUCCAGAUCAUAGUCAGCUUCCUGCAAGCAGAGCCGUACCCACUACUGCUGUUCCUUUUGCCUUCAUGCGCCGCCCUGCACCUCCCGCUUCUGCUUCCACUGAAACACCACGACCUUCCCCUGGAACUCCACGAUAUAUAUAUAUAUAUAUAUAUAUAUAUAUAUAUAUAUAUAUAUAUAUAUACCAGUUGAAUAUGUUAGACAAAUGUUUCUUAUUUAUCUCUCUCUGGCUAGAGUCUGGCUAG
rnacentral:lncRNA from 1 species